AAAAGUGAAAGACGGUCUUGCUGUCACUUAUAGAUGGAUCCGCGCUGCAUUAGCUAGUUGGUAAGGUAACGGCUUACCAAGGCAACGAUGCAUAGCCGACCUGAGAGGGUGAUCGGCCACACUGGAACUGAGACACGGUCCAGACUCCUACGGGAGGCAGCAGUAGGGAAUCUUCCGCAAUGGGCGAAAGCCUGACGGAGCAACGCCGCGUGAGUGAUGAAGGUCUUCGGAUCGUAAAACUCUGUUAUUAGGGAAGAACAUAUGUGUAAGUAACUGUGCACAUCUUGACGGUACCUAAUCAGAAAGCCACGGCUAACUACGUGCCAGCAGCCGCGGUAAUACGUAGGUGGCAAGCGUUAUCCGGAAUUAUUGGGCGUAAAGCGCGCGUAGGCGGUUUUUUAAGU
rnacentral:rRNA from 1 species